rnacentral:lncRNA from 1 species
GACAGAUAUAGAAAAAAUGUAAAAUUUGACAAAUAACCGCUAAGGUGCAGAUGUAGUCCUGAGUGCCGGGUAUAAAAGUUUUGACGCGUAAGAAGCGUCUCAACCGUCCCUUCUCGUUUUUGUUUAGACAAUUGUUAUUGCUAUUCGAUCGGUUGCUUUUUUUUGCUUUGACUCAUCGACUCAUUGCCCUUUGGCACUCACCGUUUUCGCGCAUAAUCCGUUGCCCUGCCUACUCACUCUCUGGAUUUCACGCGAGCUGCACUUCGGCUCUCACUCUCACCAUACGACGCCUGCAUUCUUCGAUUAUGGACUAAUAUCUCGGCGUCUCUGCUUUGCUUUAUUGGAGUUCGCCGUUAGCUUUCGUCACUUCGCUGCGCCGUCUGCCCUGUGUAUAUGUACAUACGUACAUACAUAACUGCUGAUCAUCGUGCUCGUUCUGCUGCCUGGUCAAUCAUCUAGCUUGUGCUCUCAGUGCGUCUUUUUUCUCGCUGUGCACAGUGACCCAACAGCUGUUGAAAAUGGCUCUUAUCUGCA